CACUGGAGGCAGCGGUUCAUCGAUCACUUUGUGCAAAUUUUGUUGUGAAAAAUAACACAAAAUACAUGAAUCGAUCGAUAAACCUCUGCAUCCAGC
rfam:Citrus sinensis cultivar Ridge Pineapple sweet orange scaffold00030_contig_36, whole genome shotgun sequence.